rnacentral:rRNA from 1 species
GUGAGGAAUAUUGCGCAAUGGAGGCAACUCUGACGCAGCCAUGCCGCGUGCAGGAAGAAGGCGCUACGCGUUGUAAACUGCUUUUAACCGGGAAGAAACCCCAGGACGUGUCCUGGGUUGACGGUACCGGUGGAAUAAGCACCGGCUAACUUCGUGCCAGCAGCCGCGGUAAUACGAAGGGUGCAAGCGUUAUCCGGAUUCAUUGGGUUUAAAGGGUGCAUAGGCGGAGCGUUAAGUCAGUGGUUAAAUCCUGCAGCUUAACUGUAGACUUGCCAUUGAUACUGGCGCUCUUGAGUGCGCUUGAAGUGGGCGGAAUGUGCCGUGUAGCGGUGAAAUGCUUAGAUAUGGCACAGAACACCAAUUGCGAAGGCAGCUCACUAAGGCGAUACUGACGCUGAGGCACGAAAGCGUGGGGAUCGAACAGGAUUAGAUACCCUGGUAGUCC